UAAGUACUCCCUCCGUCCUAAAAUUCUUGUCCUAGAUUUGUCUAAAUACGGAUGUAUCAAGUCACGUUUUAGUAUUAGGUACAUCCGUAUCUAGACAAAUCUAAGACAAGAAUUUUGGGACGGAGGGAGUACUAA
rnacentral:pre_miRNA from 1 species